AGAGUUUGAUCAUGGCUCAGGGUGAAUGCUGGCGGCGUGGAUAAGUCAUGCAAGUCAAGGGGGCCCGCAAGGGCAACCGGCAGACGAGGUAGUAACACGUAGGUAGAUCCCCCGAAGUCGGGCAUAGCCAGCCGAAAGGUUGGGUAAUUCCCGAUAGUCCUGUAAAGGUAAAGGUUUUUCGCUUCGGGAGUUGCCUGCGUAGUAUCAGCUAGUUGGUAGGGUAACGGCCUACCAAGGCUACGACGCUUAGGGGAGCUGAGAGGCUGACCCCCACCGAUGGAACUGCGACACGGUCCAUACUCCUACGGGAGGCUGCAGACGAGAAUAUUCCGCAAUGGACGAAAGUCUGACGGAGCGACGCCGCGUGAUGGAUGAAGUGCCUUGGUACGUAAACAUCUUUUAUCGGGGACGAAGUUUAUUGACGGUACCCGAUGAAUAAGGGGCUCCUAACUCUGUGCCAGCAGGAGCGGUAAUACAGAGGCCCCAAGCAUUACCCGGAAUCACUGGGCGUAAAGGGUGUCUAGGCGGCCAUAUUAGUCUCUCGUUAAAUCUGUGGGCUCAACCUGCAGCCGGCGAGGGAAACGGUAUGGCUCGAGGGCGUAAGAGGUGCACGGAACUCAUGGUGGAGGGGUGAAAUCCGUUGAUAUCAUGGGGAACACCAAAGGCGAAGGCAGUGCACUGGUACGUUCCUGACGCUCAAACACGAAAGCCAGGGUAGCGAACGGGAUUAGAUACCCCCGUAGUCC
rnacentral:rRNA from 1 species